rnacentral:lncRNA from 1 species
GUCUCUCUCAGCUUUGAUAAGAACAGCUGAGAUCUCACCAGAGAGGGGAGUUGCCAGUGCUGCUGGAACAGACACAGCUUGGGGCAUGUGGUUCUCUAGGACGGCAGAAGCUCAAGAGAGGAAAAGUUUGUCAACCCUUGACAUAGGCCAUCUGAGACAAAUGAGACUCUGCCUCAUUUUUCGGUUUGGUUUGAACUGAAUUUUCUUUCUUGUUCCAGUAAAGGCCCUUCCUCACCACAGUGAGCAAAAUCCUUAGUGUCUUUAACAAACUUCAUAUCCGGGAACUUCAUCUUCAAAGGAGAAUAAGUCGGUGUGCUCGAUUUAAUUCCUCUCAUUUGGUCUUCUGAUGAAACGAGAAUAGCUGGCUCCGGCUGUUCCCGCCCCUAAAACAGCCUUUUAAGCCUUUCUCUGGUCUCUGAACAGACCUGAGCCUUUGUUC